rnacentral:rRNA from 1 species
UACGGAAGGCAGCAGUGGGGAAUAUUGCACAAUGGGCGAAAGCCUGAUGCAGCUAUGCCGCGUGUAUGAAGAAGGCCUUAGGGUUGUAAAGUACUUUCAUCGGGGAGGAAAAAACAAAACUAAUAAUUUUAUUUCUUGACGUUACCCGAAAAAGAAGCACCGGCUAACUCCGUGCCAGCAGCCGCGGUAAUACGGAGGGUGCUAGCGUUAAUCAGAAUUACUGGGCGUAAAGAGCACGUAGGUGGUUUUUUUAAGUCAGAUGUGAAAUCCCUGGGCUUAACCUAGGAACUGCAUUUUGAAACUGAAAUACUAGAGUAUCGUAGAGGGAGGUAGAAUUCUAGGUGUAGCGGUGAAAUGCGUAGAUAUCUGGAGGAAUACCUGUGGCGAAAGCGGCCUCCUAAACGAAUACUGACACUGAGGUGCGAAAGCGUGGGGAGCGAAACAGGGACUUAGAUACCCGU